CAAAAACAUUCAUAAAACGUGAAGUAACUUCAUAGAAUGGCAUUGUUAAAGCUUGGUUUCUUUGUAGCUAUCCUUCUGAUGGCAGCUACAAUCAAAGCUGCACCAAAUGUUGAUCUUGAUGUCUCAAAGAUGGCGAGAAGACUACUUCCACAACUUAAUACUUGUUUGAGAUCUUGUGAAAAUAACAGUGGUUGUAGUGAUUGUUGGGUUUGCUGUACCUGCAAAGACUUUUUUGGAGCUAUUACAUUCAUGUGUCAGGCAUAGAUUUCACAAGUGUAGUACGUUGAAAUCAUAUAACAAUAAACUCAGCAGCAAAUCUGUUUAAUGCA